GAAAGAAAAGAAAUGUAUUUGAUAGGAGAGAAUGGUUUGUGGUGAAUGAAGGAAGGUUUGGUGGGUAUUUAUAGGAAAAGAAUUUGGAAGUUGGAAAGGAGGUGGUUGAAAAGUGAAUGAAUGUGGGUAAAUGUGAAUAAAUGGGGAAGAUAAAAAGUUGAAGGGGUGUAACGUUCGUCUCCAACGGCUCCUUAACGUUCACCUAGUCUGAAGGGCGUUACGCUCGUUACAGGUGCAUGACGGGCGUAACAGGUUCUUAGUGUGACGUCCGUGACAGAAUGUGUGACGCUCGUCACACUGUCUGUUUGGCCAAUGUUCAGCUAGCGUCCUUCAGGUAAGUUAUUAUAUAUUGUUAUUUUUUUUUUUGUUUUCUACUGAAUGAUUUAUUCUGCAAUUUAAUUUCUCCUGCAUGCUUAUUUUACUUUGUAUAAUAAUAAGUCAUAGGUAGCAACAGUAGAGAACAUAAUAGCUAUUGCAUAAUAAAAUUAAAUAAAUAACUUCAAUAAAAUGAUCAUAAUGUAAUAUUGGAAAGAAGAACAAAAGAAAUGCGAAAAGGAAACAAAUGCGAACAUGAAUUCAAAUAACAUUAAUGAAUAAUCUAGCUUAAAACUAAAUAACUAAG
rnacentral:lncRNA from 1 species